UCCAGCGCACUCACCUAUCCACUAAACCGCAACUUCAAAAAUAAUGCCUAGAUUAGGUGUUUUUUAAAAAAACUAAUAAAAUCUGUCAACAUUGAAGUUGCUGUUUAGUGGAUAGGUGAGUGCGCUGGA